AGUGAACGCUGGCGGUAGGCCUAACACAUGCAAGUCGAACGGCAGCACAGUAAGAGCUUGCUCUUACGGGUGGCGAGUGGCGGACGGGUGAGGAAUACAUCGGAAUCUACUUUUUCGUGGGGGAUAACGUAGGGAAACUUACGCUAAUACCGCAUACGACCUACGGGCGAAAGCAGGGGAUCUUCGGACCUUGCGCGAUUGAAUGAGCCGAUGUCGGAUUAGCUAGUUGGCGGGGUAAAGGCCCACCAAGGCGACGAUCCGUAGCUGGUCUGAGAGGAUGAUCAGCCAAACUGGAACUGGGACACGGUCCAGACUCCUACGGGAGGCAGCAGUGGGGAAUAUUGGACAAUGGGCGCAAGCCUGAUCCAGCCAUACCGCGUGGGUGAAGAAGGCCUUCGGGUUGUAAAGCCCUUUUGUUGGGAAAGAAAAGCAGCAGGUUAAUACCCCGCUGUUCUGACGGUACCCAAAGAAUAAGCACCGGCUAACUUCGUG
rnacentral:rRNA from 1 species